CAUGAGACCCCUGUCCCCUCUCCUCACAGAGGCCCAAAGGUGCCGAAGGUCGGGAAGAUCAGCUACAUGGACUUCGUGUGGUUUCUGCUCUCCUAGGGGGACAAAAAGACACCGGCCAGCAGAUGCAGUGCCUGGACACCCGGGUCAUUGAGCAUCUUCCCUUCCUGGACUGCAUGUGCCAGAUGAUGGACCUGGUGAAGCCAUGGAUCCCAGGUCCAGGAAGGUGAUCA